GCCUGGGUGGCUCAGUCGGUUAAGUGUUUGAUUUUGGCUCAGGUCAUGAUCUCGUGGUUCAUGGGUUCGAGCCCCAUGUCAGGCU
rnacentral:tRNA from 1 species